GAUGAACGCUGGCGGUAUGCUUAACACAUGCAAGUCGAACGAAAGUUUUUAACUUUAGUGGCGAACGGGUGCGUAAUACGUGAGAAUCUGCCCUUAGGAGAAGAAUAACUGCUGGAAACGGCUGCUAAAUCUUCAUAUGCCGAGAGGUGAAAUAGUUUAGGCUGCCUAAGGAUGAGCUCACGCCUGAUUAGCUAGUUGGUAAGGUAACGGCUUACCAAGGCCACGAUCAGUAGCUGGUUUGAGAGAACGAUCAGCCACACUGGGACUGAGACACGGCCCAGACUCCUCCGGGAGGCAGCAGUGAGGAAUUUUCCGCAAUGGGCGAAAGCCUGACGGAGCAAUACCGCGUGAGGGAUGAAGGAUUUUGGUCUGUAAACCUCUUUUCUCAAGAAAGAAGUUCUGACGGUACUUGAGGAAUAAGCAUCGGCUAACUCCGUGCCAGCAGCCGCGGUAAUACGGGGGGUGCAAGCGUUAUCCGGAAUCAUUGGGCGUAAAGCGCCUGUAGGUUGUUUACUAAGUCUGUUGUUAAAGACUAGGGCUUAACCCUAGAAAAGCAAUGGAAACUUGUAGACUAGAGUAUGGCAGGGGUAGAGGGAAUUU
rnacentral:rRNA from 1 species